GAUGAACGCUGGCGGCGUGCCUAAUACAUGCAAGUCGAGCGCUUGGUUGCGACGCUUGCUUCUCUGUUGUUAGCGGCGGACGGGUGCGUAACACGUGGAUACCCUACCUAUAACUAUGCGUUAACUUCGGGUAACCGGUGCUAACAGCGGCUAAUAUUUUGAAACAGAUUGUUCAACAUUGCAAGAGGGUCUUGGUCUCUCUUGUGUAUGGCUCCUCGCUGCAUUAGCUAGUUGGUAAGGUAACGGCUUACCAAGGCAACGAUGCAUAGCCGACCUGAGAGGGUGAUCGGCCACACUGGAACUGAGACACGGUCCAGACUCCUACGGGAGGCAGCAGUAGGGAAUCUUCCGCAAUGGGCGAAAGUCUGACGGAGCAACGCCGCGUGAGUGAUGAAGGUCUUCGGAUCGUAAAACUCUGUUAUUAGGGAAGAACAUAUGUGUAAGUAACUGAACACAUCUUGACGGUACCUAAUCAGAAAGCCACGGCUAACUACGUG
rnacentral:rRNA from 1 species